CAAUAGCGUAUAUUAAAGUUGUUGCGGUUAAAACGCUCGUAGUUGGAUUUCUGUUGAGGGCAGCCGGUCCGCACUUCGUGCGUGUAUCUGGUUUGACCUCGGCAUCCUCUCAAAAUACGUUUCUGCGCUUGAUUGCGUGGAGCGGAGUUUGAGACUUUUACUUUGAGGAAAUUAGAGUGUUCACGGCAGGCAAUCGCCUUGAAUAUAUUAGCAUGGAAUAAUAAUAUAGGAUCUUGGUUCUAUUUUGUUGGUUUCUAGAGCUAAGAUAAUGAUUAAUAGGGACAAUUGGGGGCAUUCGUAUUAACGCGUCAGAGGUGGAAUUCUUGGAUUGCGUUACGACGAACUACUGCGAAAGCAUUUGCCAAGGAUGCUUUCAUUGA
rnacentral:rRNA from 1 species